CCUACGGGGGGCAGCAGUGGGGAAUAUUGCACAAUGGAGGAAACUCUGAUGCAGCAACGCCGCGUGGAGGAUGACACAUUUCGGUGCGUAAACUCCUUUUAUAUAGGAAGAUAAUGACGGUACUAUAUGAAUAAGCGCCGGCUAACUCCGUGCCAGCAGCCGCGGUAAUACGGAGGGCGCAAGCGUUACUCGGAAUCACUGGGCGUAAAGAGCGUGUAGGCGGAUAGAUAAGUCAGAAGUGAAAUCCUAUGGCUCAACCAUAGAACUGCUUUUGAAACUGUUUAUCUAGAGUGUGGGAGAGGUAGAUGGAAUUUCUGGUGUAGGGGUAAAAUCCGUAGAGAUCAGAAGGAAUACCGAUUGCGAAGGCGAUCUACUGGAACAUAACUGACGCUGAGACGCGAAAGCGUGGGGAGCAAACAGGAUUAGAUACCCCAGUAGUC
rnacentral:rRNA from 1 species